CUCACAGGCCCAGGCAGGAUGGCACGUGCUUGUCCAAUUCCUGGCCUGGACCCAUCCCCGCGGGGGCAUCGGCCCAGGACGGAACAGGUAGCAUCUAGGUCCUCCUUUUAAUGGGCUCAGACCCGGCAAUCUCCUCUCAGCCUGCCGCUCGGUAGCUCUGCGCCCUCGGGCAUUUCACCUCCCAGGUCUCAGUUUUGCUGCUCAUAAAAUGGUUGGACCAUCUGGAGGGGAGGUGUGCGGGCGCGUGGAAGGAGGAAGGUGAGGGUGCUUCCCAGGGAGGGCCAGGUGAAGCCGGGAGUCGAGCAUUUUCCUAAGAUUGCUCGCGGCCGCGGGCGUGGGUGGUGAGCAUCACGAUUAAGAAGGAACACACGCACGCACACACACACCUCCUUCCUUCUUCCCUUCCUCUUCCUCUCACCCCGCCCCCCGGGGGGGCGGUACCCUGUUCUCGCGGGGGAGGUUUUGGGGCGGAGGACCGCGGAGGGACUGAGCCCAGGAGGGUGGCUGGCCGCGGAGGAGGGCUUGGGUUCGGCCCGCUGCAGCUGGGUGGCCGGCGCGGCGGCGGCCCCUCCCCCGCUCUCCCUGGCCGCCGCCCCCUCCUCCCUUCGUCCUCCUCCUCCUAUCCCUCCUCCCUGUCCCCCACCCUCCUCCCGGGCCCCGGCAGCUGCGGCUCGGGGAGCAGCCGGCGGCGCCGCGACCGCGCAGCCUUUGUCUCGGACCGCCGGGCGCGCGGGGCCCAGCGCAGCCAGGCCACGCGGGGACGGAGGAGGCAGAGAGAACGGGCAGUGAUGGAGAAACGGGAGAGGAGCCGGCCAAGCGCCACCGUCACCACCAUCACCAACCACCACCACCAUCACUGGCCGUCGCCCAUCCCAGCUCCCCUGCCUCACCUCCCAUCUCAUAUCCCUGUGCAGUGCCAACUUUAUCAGAUCAUCUCCUUUCACUGGGUACUACUUUGGAAAAGCGACAGAGUGCGCAAAAUUAGGAAUAAGUACAUCCGCUGUGGGACAUUUAUCUUCCCGUUUCCAUUUCGCCACCUCAAUUUUCCCAUCAGGAAAGGGGGCACAGCGGCACUUCAUUUCUCCUAA
rnacentral:lncRNA from 1 species